rnacentral:tRNA from 1 species
GGUCUUGUAGCUCAAUUUGUCAGAGCGUCGGUCCUAUGAGCCGACGGUCGUAGGCUCAAACCCUCUGAUACUU